CAGUCGCCGCGGUAAUACGAAGGGUGCAAGCGUUAAUCGGAAUUACUGGGCGUAAAGCGUGCGUAGGCGGUUUGUUAAGUCUGUUGUGAAAUCCCCGGGCUCAACCUGGGAAUGGCAAUGGAUACUGGCAAGCUAGAGUGUGUCAAAGGAUGGUGGAAUUCCCGGUGUAGCGGUGAAAUGCGUAGAGAUCGGGAGGAACAUCAGUGGCGAAGGCGGCCAUCUGGGACAACACUGACGCUGAGGCACGAAAGCGUGGGGAGCAAACAGGAUUAGAGACCCCUGUAGUCCCUGUCUCUUAUAU
rnacentral:rRNA from 1 species